UAACUUGUUAUUUCAAUACAUUUAAGUGAUUUACACACUUUCCUCCUUUAUUUAUACCCAACUUCAUGGGAUUUCGUUCUAGGUUAAUUACGGCCUAGUCCAGUCCGUUAUAUCCAGACUACACUGUAGAACAGACCAUUUCUCGUUGUGUGUGUGAUUCCGCGCUAAAACCAUCAACAUGACAGUCUACUCUUUUCCUAUCUUCUGCAACACACCAAGCUGUCAAGAUAACCUGCUUCAGUGAUGGCUUUGUGGGGUGCUUGCUGCCUAUUCUUUGCACGAGAUAUUUUGCUUCAUAUCGAGGAUGGGCGUGCUAGAGUGUCUGGCCUACGAGAUUUAUGGAUCCUCCGAGACAGGAACUGAAUCAAUGACUUCUAAAUUACAAUGGACUUGGCGUUUCAAUGACAGGGCAUUAAAAUAAUUCAAAAAACAUCCUUUGAUUUAUAACCAGCAAGUCACAGAUCAAAAAGAUUUAAGGGAACAUUUUUAUGCGUUGGAGAGAAUGUUAAUUCUCAUGUUUAUAUUUCAUUUAAUUAUAAAUGCCUGUUUUAAUACUUAAAAGAAAAUGAUUAAUGCUUAUUGUCA